UGAAAUGAAUUGCAUGGUCUCUGCUUAGCCCAAGCAGACCAAAUCUAUUGGGCCUCUUAAUAAGCGGAUAAACGUUGUUGCCUUGAAGGCAGAAGAUAGGAUCCAGCGUGACACUGCGGGCAUCAUGACUUCUCUUCGAAGAGAAAAUGCUCCCUGGCCUGCUCUGUUCGUUAACUUUCACAAGCAACAGUUGUUUGGAGAAGUCUUCCCAGGCAGAAGGCAUUCAUGUGCCUGUUUGGGUGGAGGGGGGGUAGCACUGUCUUGCCCAGAGACACUGAUUGCCCUUGGGGUGAGCUUUUUCUUCAUGCUGUGAACCCUUCAUUCAGCACACUGCAAGCAAGUCUCGUGUUUCACAGCUGCUCAUGGGCGGUGCACGUUUGCCUGGCUCCCGUAGCCUGCACAGAUGAGGCAGUCAGAUGAUACAGACCAAAGAAAUUAGAAUUAUGACUUCUGGUGAUCGCUGGCAAACAGCUGCAGCAAGCUGUCAGGCUCACAAACAGCAUCAGCAUGCAAGCUGGAAUAAAGGGAGCCCUGUGAAUCUCAUUAACUGAACUGAUUCUCCACCCAUCUCCAUAGAAAGCAACUUUCCCUACACUCAAAACCUUGCUGGUCGCCCUCCUCUAGGAGCUGAAGUGCUCCAAGUGGGGUGACAAGGACUUUGGUGGAAAACCUACAGUUCAGAGGAUACAUACCACCGAUGAAGCAAUGAACUUGCCCGUCACUUUCGACGAGGGGGGAAUAUGGCUCAGCAAUAGCUGUGGCUGUUCCCAAGGCACACCAGGAUCCAAGCCAGUUUAAAUGGAGGCGUGGGAGGACCAAGAGAGAAACGUUCAGAGAAGAGGCCAGGAGGUCAGCUUUAACCUAACCUUGGUCCCUCAUCAAGAGGAGGGCUCUGAAGGAAAUUGAAGAUUGCUAAGGAAACUGCUUUUCUACCAGGAACACACCAGUGCUUUAAUUGCUCAGAAACAAGCAACAAGGCUAGAUUCCAUGCAUUGAUUUUUUU